UACGUAGGGUGCAAGCGUUGUCCGGAAUUAUUGGGCGUAAAGGGCUCGUAGGCGGCCUUCUAAGUCGAACGUGAAAUCCCCGGGCUCAACCCGGGAACUGCGUCCGAUACUGGGAGGCUUGAAUCCGGGAGAGGGAUGUGGAAUUCCAGGUGUAGCGGUGAAAUGCGUAGAUAUCUGGAGGAACACCGGUGGCGAAGGCGGCAUCCUGGACCGGUAUUGACGCUGAUGAGCGAAAGCUAGGGGAGCAAACGGG
rnacentral:rRNA from 1 species